GGAGAAUUUAUGGGAAGACAUCAACAAGAGCAGCAGUAAAUGGACAAUCAAAGGAAAAAUCUACCUGUUCAUCAAGGAUAUCUUUGCUAAAAGUAUAAGAAGAAAACAGAAGUUUUAUAAAUGAUAAUCUACAGCAGACCACAUUUUUACAGUCACAAAAUGGAUAAAAGAUCUCCCAAUCUGUGUUUCAAGCCUACUCCCAACCAUUUUAAUCUAGAGGAAUAAUCUCUGUGAAGAAAAGAAUCAGCUAUUCUCAUCUUUGGAGAUAGAUAAAUCAGUCUAGUCAAAGCAAGUAGGAACCAUAAGAAAAAAACAUGAUGCAUAUGCCAAGUGAAUCAGACUACCACUACCCUUGACUACCAUCUCCCCUCAGAGUAUGAUGAAGAAAGCUCAAAAUCUGAAUCCAAGGGUCCCUAAAAUAAGUUCUCAUACCAAUGGCUUUGCAACAACUUCCAUCACUUUUAUUCAAAGAACCAAGCUUGAUGGAGAUGAUGACCUAAUAGUUCUCUUAUUGAUCCUUUAGUAGCCAUACCUACUAAAGGCACAGAAAAGAAGUUCUCUUCACAAAAGACUUUAGCAUCAUCAAAUGUUUAACAAAAAUGGAUAUGGUUUUAACAGUGGGGAAAAAAUAAAGAAAAUGCAUAACCAUCCAUA